rnacentral:rRNA from 1 species
UAGCAUAAUCNUUAGUUUUUUAAUUGAAGNCUAGAAWGAAAGGUUUAAUAAAAAAUAAACUUUAUUAGUUUUAAUUUAUUGAAAUUAUUAUUUUAAUAAAAAAAUUAAAAUUUUUUUAAAAGACGAUAAGACCCUAUAAAGCUUUAUAAAAUACUUAAAUAAAAAUUUUUAGAAUAUUUUUUUUUUUAAUUAAUUUUAUUUAAUUGGGGUGAUUUUAAGAUUAAUUAAACUCUUAAUUUUUUUUUUCAUUUUUAAAUGAAUUUUGAUCUAAAAUUUUUUGAUUAAAAAUAAAAGUUACUUUAGGGAUAACAGCGUAAUUUUUUUAAAGAGUUCAAAUCGAUAAAAAAGAUUGCGACCUCGAUGUUGAAUUAAGAUAAAAUUUAGGUGCAAAAGUUUAAAUUUU